AAGAUCCUUGAUAUAAAAUCCAAACGGAUCAAAAGUCAGAGAGCAUCAAUUAUCAUACACAAACUUAUAAAUUGAAAGCAAGUUAUGAGAGGCUUGAGGAACUAGCAACACAUGAUUGAGUUUAAAAGUAGCAUUGGUUGUAAGAAGUAAAGCAUAUCCAGUAUGUGAAAUGCAUAGACCUUUACCAUCUCCAACAAAGAGUUGUUCACUUCCAGUGUAGGGAAAAGCAGAAUUGAGGGAAGCUAGAUUGGGAGUGACAUGAGGAGAGGCACCGCUAUCAGCAAGCCAAUAACUCGGGGGAGGAGAAGUAGUAGCAGUCAGACCCAUGGGUGAACUAAGUUGAGACCUCUGAGAAGCAAUUUGAGAAAGUCUGUUACAGGAGAGAGCCUCGUGACCAAAUUGAAGACAUAAUUGGCAUUGAAGAUUACGGCCAGACAGAAACCAGGAGAGUGCGAGGGGAGUGAAUUAUUUUAUAGUCUGAUACUGUGGAACUACUUGGGGACGAUAUACAUAUGAUUCUCCUGCAUGACAAGAGCGAGCAAGCAAACCCUUAAAGAUAGGAUUAUCAAACGGUGCUCUGAUUUUCUGGACUGUCAAUUUUGAAAUAUUUUGGAUGGAAAUGGACUUUCAACGCUUCCCAUACUCGCAAUUCCUUCUAGGGACCUCUAGACCUCAGCUCUGUUGAAUAGCUAUACAAAGAUUGAAUGUAUGUGGGACUUCGUCGGUCCAGAAAGAAAGCUAUUGAACUGUAAAGAUAGGAUUAUCAGAGGGAAAACGAUGUUAGCUUACUUCAACCACUCAAGUACUUGUGUAUGUAUGUACUUCUGUGGUUUCCAUAUGGCGGAAUGCUUACUCAUCUUUCAAUGCCUCUGUCAUCUUGUGGUAGGUGCAUAUACAUAUGUUCCUCUACAAACACAAUGGUUGGAGAGAGCUUGGCUUAUUGGCACCGCUUGCUAGAAUGCACUUGUGACUAGACUUGGUGGCUGGCUGCUGUGCCUACAGAUUUCAGUGUAAGUAGUUGAACACUUAAGUGUAAUUUGUUCUUCCUUUAUGUAUCAAUGUAA